rfam:Helianthus annuus unplaced genomic scaffold HanXRQChr00c0509, whole genome shotgun sequence.
GGAAGCCGUGUGCAAUGAAAAAAUGCAGCACGGCUUGGGGAGGGAUUUUACUAUUAACAAAGAAAAUUAUUCUACUCCAU